AGCUGCGUGGCGCAGUGGAAGCGCGGUAAGUUCUCAAAAGUCAACUCGCAUAAAAGGAUCCAUCAUACUGACAACAAACAAUAGCCGGGCUCAUAACCCGGAGGUCCUCCGAUCGAAACGGAGCGCAGCUA